UACGUAGGGGGCAAGCGUUGUCCGGAAUCAUUGGGCGUAAAGAGCGCGUAGGCGGUCCGGUAAGUCCGCUGUGAAAGUCAAGGGCUCAACCCUUGGAUGCCGGCGGAUACUGCCGGGCUAGAGUCCGGAAGAGGCGAGUGGAAUUCCUGGUGUAGCGGUGAAAUGCGCAGAUAUCAGGAGGAACACCAAUGGCGAAAGCAGCUCGCUGGGACGGUACUGACGCUGAGGCGCGAAAGCGUGGGGAGCAAACAGG
rnacentral:misc_RNA from 1 species